rnacentral:rRNA from 1 species
UACGUAGGUGGCAAGCGUUGUCCGGAGUUAUUGGGCGUAAAGCGCGCGCAGGCGGUGCGGUAAGUCUCUGGUGAAAGCGCUCGGCUUAACUGGGCGAGGGCCGGGGAGACUGCCACGCUGGAGGGGAGCAGAGGCGAGUGGAAUUCCGGGCGUAGUGGUGAAAUGCGUAGAGAUCCGGAGGAACACCAGUGGCGAAGGCGGCUCGCUGGGCUCUACCUGACGCUGAGGCGCGAAAGCGUGGGGAGCAAACAGG